rnacentral:lncRNA from 1 species
CAAAAAGAACACGCUCUCAUGGAGGAGAAAAGUGGCGACGGACGCUAAUUGAAAUUCACUGAAAUGAGUGGUCAAAAACUGCAUGACAUGUAACACAAAAAUGAGCAAAAUUAGAAAGAGAUCAGUUUUAUCAUAAAGUACAAUAGAGGUACUAAAUAAAGAAAGAAUAUCGACAGGAAAAUGUAUCAGGUUAUUUCCAUACAUGCUGUGUUGCUUAAUUGAGCGAAUUUCAGGGGCAUUUACACAUUUGACAAAACAGAGAGAGAUACAACUCACCUUAUCGCCAAUUACUUUUUUUACUCAUCACUCUCAGUUGUGAACUGUUAAAAAAAUAUUUAAAAGGAAAGGGUAAAAAGAUAUACUCCUUUCCAUGUAAGAUACUAUGUUAACAUUUGGUAAUAUUAAGUUUGUUUCCAAACCAAAAAUGCUUAUUCGGAUGAUGCGAUUAUCUAAUGCUGGUUGGGCCGCCAAUUGCACAUUUGUCAGGAUAUUUAGAAUAAUCCUUGAUGAAGCCCAGUAAAACCUUCAACUUCUAGUUUAGAGCUCAAGAUAAGAACCACUUAUAACCUUGAGUGUCUUUAUCAAGAUGGAGACUCAAAUUCUGCACAAGUAACCGGAAUAAGUACGCCAGAUUCCUCUGCAGGCAUUAGGACACAACUAGGUCGUACAAGUAGUUCUGGUCUUGCAUUUGUUUUAAAACACAUAGGGUACGCAUAAUGAGCAGAGAGGAAACCAUCACAAAAUGAAUAUUAUUCCACACUGAGGAUAGAAACGACAGUUUGAGGAUCCUGCAAUAUAAACACCUAUAAAAUUUGAGCAUUCUAAAUUUCUUUAAUCAGUCUCAGUUUGUUUAAAAUAUAAAGUUCAAGCGAGAUCAAAGUGACAUGACCAAAAGUACUACUAGCAACCGACAUGCUCAACUAUCUUUGGGCACAUGAUGAAACCGACUACAAGGCAGGCUGCAGUCCGCCGUUGCGUAAGAUCAUAUGACGUACACUAUAAAGUGGAGACUGUAGGAAGGGGCGCGCAAAGAUCUUCAAGUUCACUGUUCAAGUACGAAUGGGACCAACAGUGCAGGCAUCAACAAGACUUCUUAGGGGAAAUUUUACUAGAGUUGACCCAGCAAUUAUUACGACAAUGAAAAACUUAUCUGCCAAAGAUGAUUCCUAAUCAUUUGAAUAGCUAAAUUUGAUUAUCUAUGGUGUUCCAACAACAGAAAAGACAGCUUUCAGAAACUAAAUCAAUUAAUCAAGAGAUUAUAUAGUGGGUGUGUGACUGAUUGUAUAACACGCAACAUGUACAAUCAUCGUUGGCAAUUUUUUAGAAGAAAUAAAAUUCGGCAUUUUAGAACGGGGCUAAAUUCGACCAGAUCAGUCUGGCAAUUCCAAAAUGCAUCAUCAGGCACUGCCCGGAAAACCUAACUUUCCACGCACAAGUGCGAAUAAGUAAUUAUCAGUAACACAAAAACAAAGAGAUGCCACAUUUAUAACGUCCAACCUCGCUCCGUCAAAAAAUCACCACACACACCACCAGGGACAAAUCAUGCAGCCUCGGCCAAAUACCAGAGGAAUGGGGGGAGAGCGGGAUAACUAGCCACGAAGAAAAGAGGCCGGAGUUGAACCCUCACCUGCCACCCUGACUCGAGGAGAGACGCCAUGUGGUGGAGGCGGGGGGCGCCGCCGCCGACGACGACAAGAUCCGGGGGGAGAGUCUCCUACGGCGGGCAACAGAGCACGUAGACAGUGGCCAAGAGUGGGA